GUUGCACAAAUUGCCACAUCCACAAAUUUCAUUGUUCUGAAUUUCGGAUUGACCCCUUGGAAUGGCUUUAAUCAUAAAUAAUAAAUGAAAUAACAUAAAAAAGACAAUAUAUUACUGAAUUAUUUGGCAAAUUUUAAGUUUAUAAUUUGUAACUUAUUUGUAUCCAUUAUUCUCCAAAUUUAUUAUUUAAUUACACUCGAAAAAUGCCUUCUAAGGCGUCGCCUGAAAAAUUAAAAUAUUGGCAAGCAAAAUGUCCGCAUCUUCCUUCCUUCCUUCCUUCCUUCCCAAGACCUAGAAGCCUUGACAAUGGCGGAAGUGGUGCAGUAACGGUUGGAGUGCACUGCAUCUCCAUGGGUCAGUGACCCUCGAGCGACGCUGACAUUUCACGCGCCGGUCAGAUUGCUGAGAUGGGUGUCGCGGGCGCUGAAGAAGCAGGGAACAGACACCUUCAAGAGGAGAGGAUGAAGAAGUCGAUGUGUCCCAAUACGACGGCGUUUUUGCAGAGAAAGCAAAACAAUUGUCUGGCUGAAGAUGAAGAAGGUUCUAGUACUGGCUCAGGCUAUUAUCCAAAGGUCCCAAGACCUUGGAUAAAUGCUGCAGCUUGGGAAUUUAGCCACGAUUUAAAAUGUUGCAGCUGCUCGGUCUCUGAUGCAGCAGGUUGAGAAUGUGCCCUACUUUUGAAGACCUUUGGAUAAAGUAUUGUUUGGAUGGAACUCGCAUCUUUUCUAAGUUAAAGGCCAAAAAAGUUGCUCCUGGAGAGGAUGGAAGAACUCUGAUCCCUGAUCAAAGAACUGCUAAUGAUCAACAGUGGAGAGAUGAAAGUUAUUAUUAAAUGUCUCUUAACAAUGAAAGAGAUAAUAGUGAUGGAUCAAAUAUUGAAAAUAAGAAUCCAAAUGAGAGAGUGUAGAUGUGUUUGGAGAACAAGGAUGGAGCAUUCUAAGAACCAUAUAUGCUGGAGCAGUUGAAGCUCUUGCUUCUAGUGUGAUUCCGAGAAAGAGAUGUUUGAGUUUUUAGAGGUAACAAUCUGAAAGGAAAUCCUAAGUGAGAUAAGGAGAGACUUUUCAACAAACCAGAAUAUUGGGAUUGGCUCAUUCAGAGGCAACAGACUUUUCUUGCAUGAUGCGCCUAUAAUUAUCUAAUGAGAGUGCCCUGAAUGAUUUUUCACGUGUAGGUAUAUGAGGAGGCUUUUAGAGUUUUGCCCUGGGCAGCAAUGCGUAAUCUUUAUGCAAAGUUUUUGAUGGGACGAAUUUCAAGCUUAUGUAGUCAAUGAAAAUUCUAUAUCACAUCUAUUGGUGGUAUGUGAGAAGGCAUCACUGAGGGUCUUCCUUAUCACCAUAUUUCCUGUUAUUUGGAACUUGGAACACUGGAGGAACCAGGAAACUGGCAGAAAGUCUUCGUUGCAAAAGAAUUUCAGACUCGGUAAAGUCAUGGCUAUAAAGGGUCUCUGUAGAAAUUAUACAUGUUACUAUGUAUCUUCCUGUCAGCUGAUCUCCUACCCGCCUUUAUCCUACUAAAUGAUGUUUUGACCAUAGCCUCUGCUUUGGCAGCUGAAAGUUAUGGCUAAUGGUGGCAGUCAAAUUGUUGGCGAACCAAAAGGGAGUUGUUUAAGCAAGUUAGUCGAGUGUUCAAUGUAUCAUUAACCAUAGAUGGUGACAAUCUCAAUGGAGUCUCUUUCUUCUGCCAUUGUAAAUUUUGUUCUUCAAAGAUGGAAUUCAACAUGAUAGAGAGACUUGUAUAAGCCGUAUGUGAGCUGGUGGGUUCUUUGUAAAUAAUUUCUUACAUUCAUAACAAUUUUGCAUUUGAACCUGUGCCAUUCCACAUUCUAAAGCAGUUAGGGCCCGUUUGGGAUGCAGGAGUGGAACAGAUUGGACUCUAACAUUCGUAAUAGUAUAAAGACUUGUGUUGUUUUUCUGCUGAGAAUAAACCAAGAUUGUAUGUAA